AUUAACCCUUAUGUUCACAAGAUGGAAACAGCCUAAAUGUCUGAAUAAAUAUAUAUUCAUAGAAUUGAGAUUUCUUUUUUCUGUUUCUUCAAUUACAUUUUCCUAGACCAAAGAGGGCUAUUUCCUAUUUCAAAAAUGAAGAAAACUGUUAUAAAAGACUAUAAGAGUUGGAUGAAUGGAAGCAAUAGGCAUUCCUGUUCUGAAGGUCAUUGUGGCCACAUCAGGGAGGCAGAUGCACAGUGUUCACAGAUGUGUGCCUUGGACAUCAUCAACUCUUGCUGAGCAGAACGAGGCUCACGGUGGCAGACUGCAAACUCACAAUGAAGACUUCAGUCCCAAAACUCUUAGAUCAUGUUUUACCUUAAAGUCUCAAUUUCUGUUGGGUAUAGUCAACCAGUGAAGUGGGAACCAUGAAAGAUGUGCC
rnacentral:lncRNA from 1 species